rnacentral:tRNA from 1 species
GGGUCUGUAGCUCAAGUUAAGCUAGAGCACACGCUUGAUAAGCGUGGGGUCACGUUCAAGUUCCGUCGACCCACCA